AACAUUUUUGCAAUAAAUACAGUAUAUAGAAACGCUUCUCUUUUUAAUCAGAAAAUGCAAUGUUUAAAAUUCUACAGGACUACAAUUUUGUACCAUAGUAUAUACUUUUUAAAUUAAAACUUGUUAUAUUUUUACAGCCAAUUUUGGUUUGAAACAAGAACUGUCCAAACCCUGACUUCAUUUAACCUCAAAUAUUUUCCAUGCAGUCCCACCCAGCAAUGGAUAUACUGUGGAAAACAGCACUCAGACGUUCUUUUAGAAGCAUCCUAAGAUUGAUAGCAGAUUUUCCUCCUUUCAUUGGAAGAAAAAGAUUGUUAUUAUUUUAUCUGUGUGAAACUGGCAGGGACUAUCAGAACUAAUGUUUGGGUUGCAUAGUUAUCUAUACAUACAUAGCAGUUGAAUCUCUUUGCUUAGACACAGGCAGAAAGAAUUUCCAUUUUGGAUGCACUAAAUAAUCUUCAAAUGUAGGACUGUAAGAAAGAAAUUCUAUUUGUACCUGUAGCUGUGGCUGUCACACAGUGCUUGAUAAAUGGAUGCAGAAAGGGAAGCUGCUAAAGAAUGAAGAGUGUACACCUAAAAUGAAAAGAGCUGCUAAGUUAUAUGUAAUUUAUACACAAAAGGACUCUCCCAGUAACAAGAAUAUUACUAUUAUGAGCUUACAAUGCAGCAGAAACACUCCAUUUCCUAGAAGAAGAAAUGCAAGGAUUUCUUGGAAAGACUGAUGGAGGCCAAACUGUGUUGAAAAUGGAUUAUUUAUUCUCUUCUACUGCUGUCUACUCAGUACAGACAAGAUUUCACAAGGAUGGAUGUUAAAAAGCAAAAGCAUUUUUUAAAGCAGCUUUUCGCCAUCUGUCUUCACUGAAGUUGUGGCUGAAGAAAGCAGUCAUCUUUUCAUCAUGCUGAGACCUGCAUAAAGAAAUGCAAGUUCGGUGCUUGUUGUGGCCACAGUGUCUGCCAAAGCUACAAGGAACAUCUGCUCUAGACGAGUGAGGCCUGGCAGACUUGAGUGCAUCAGGUGGCUUGAAAGGACGCUGGCGUGUUCUCGGCCAAAGAAGAUCCAGUGGUUGGCUGUACACAAGUCUGGAGCUCAGAAUGAGUUUACUAGCAGUCUGAAGAUUAGCAAUUGAUGAAGAUCGUGGAAUGGGACUCACGCCAGGUGAUAAAUCUGGAGAAGAAUCUACAGUCUUCUGCUCAGUACCUCUACCCCUCUACAAGGGAGGCUGCUGGGACUGAAAACAUUUCCUGCAGACAAAGAAAAUGUGUCUGCCAGACAACGAUGGCAAAAUUUUCACAUUCCUGAAUAUCUUCUUUUUCCAGAGAACUACGGAAUGGCAUCUUCCUCCAUACAGGGUUGAUGCUUGCUGCUAUGUGGAAGUGACCGAGUGCAUUUGCGUGAUGUGAAAUGUGACGCUGAACUUCAUGAGUACCCUGCUGAUCUGGCAACACAUCUGUAUUGAGAAAUGGUGCUGCUAAUGCUGGAAGUGCUAGUUUCACAUAUCUGCUCACCCAGAAGAGUAUCUUCUGGUAACAGUGUCUCUGCCCACAGUCGACAGAUGCCAUCGAGACAUGAUCUGUUGCAAAGUAUUCACCAUCAGGAGACCAGGCCAUCAAAUGUACUGAUACUGCAGUCCUAAAGAACACAAGAGUAAAGUUUUAAAAUGAUCAUCUUCAUCUUCUUCUAGAAUGUCACUGGACGGUGGAGCCCACAGUUGCAAAUAGUCAGUUGCUGUCAGCAGCCUGUUACCUGAAUAAACCCUUCAUGUACAAGAUGGCCUUUAUCAUGAAUUUAUCUAGUAAUAUUCCCAAUACUCAAAUGCUUCAUCUACAAUUUACCACUCCACAGGACGUCUACCAGCACAGUCAUUAACUGAGAGUAUGUUUAUGGAUUUUACAAUCUGAAGAUAGUUCAGCUUCUCAUAUUGGAUUUUGUUGCAAAACAAACUCCACGAGUGGUGUGGAAAGCUGGACAGUUCAGCAAACAUUCACAUUUAGGGUGAAGAAGAUGGAGACUGUGCUGUGAAUGCCCACAGAAAGACAGGAGAACAGAAGCAGGUCCUGGAGUUCCAAUAUUUUAUUCACCUACUUCAAAGGGUGCUUCACUGGUAGCCCCACUACACCAACAAAGAAUAGGAAAGUGCCAUAAUAGUUAUAAUAUUUAACAGUAGUUCCUUCUGAGGGACUCAGCUGACAACAUCUUCAAGGAGAUCUUUUGUGUCAGCACAGAUCUCUCCUGCCAGAAGAAGAGUGGCCAUAGAAUUCAAGGCAAUAGACUAAUCGUCUGCACAGCCUGAUGGAAGGAAUGGAAAACUGGUAAGCCAAGCAAAAAGGAAAGAUGGGGAAGAAAUGCUGAGAUACUGUAAUGGAUCACAGUGCAGAGGCCUUAGAUAAACAGUUGUAAGCUGUCACUGAAUGAAACCAGUGCAGCAAAACCACCCACAUGGAAUACCUGCCAACCUCCAUUUCCAAUGUCACUGGUAACUUUAAAAUUAAAUGGAUUUGCAAAACUGCCAGAACGCCAAGAUGACUUGCAGGAUCCACAAGCAGCUAAUAAGCUGUGGUCUGCCAAUGUUUGCUUGAGAUCUGAGCCCAUUGAAAUGAGCAAUGUCAAAGCUCUAAUUGAAUGCAGGAGUACCAGGCUUAGGCUCUGAUACAGUAGGACACUGUACUGAGCUGAGUGAAACCAAACAGGGUUUGAAAAAUGGAGGUAGUUUAUAAUCUUUGAAAAACAUACUGGCUGCAAGUUACUCCACAAGGUGCAGACAAUGAAUACCUUUUCUGGUUAGUUGGGGUGUGUGUGUUGAAAGACUCCUUUGCACAGCAAUCAGCUCUGACCACCCGUAACUUCUGCAUGCUCCUUUGUGAAACACAGUUAGUGGUAACUGCUGAAAGGAGGACAAGAAGCCCUGCUCACAGCAGGUUGGAAAGCAUGCUGAAUUAUACCAGAAUGACAAACAGAAAGCUGUCAUUUAACACUAAAACAUAAAUAACAAAAAAACUACUAGCUACGUGGUCCCAGCACCUAUUUCUUUGGAUUUGUUUCACUUUAUGGAGUCACUAUGACCUGUUUCUUUUUAGCAAAUUAAGUUUUAAAAAGUUUAAUAGCAAAAUU